rnacentral:lncRNA from 1 species
GCGUGGAUAAUUAAAACAUGGCAUAUACAUAAUAUCACGAUUUGUUGGUGUAAUGUACACAGCCAAUAAACAUCAUAAAUUAGAUAUAUCAGUGAAUCCUACUUUUGGUAUUGUAGGCUUGGUUAUAUGAAUAAGAGUAGGAUUGAUAGGUUGAUCAAAGAAUGUAUCUUUGAAAUAGAUGAUUGUGAAUCAUUGCCAACCUGCGAAUCCUGUCUACUUAGUAAGAUAACUAAGUCAUCUUUUAAG